rnacentral:lncRNA from 1 species
AAAAAAAGCACUGCAUAAAGGAGUUGAGCUUGGAAGACGUUUUUAUGAGGGUGGAGCUGAAUGGAAACGAAAUCUGAGAAACUGGAGUGCAAAACUGAAUUUAUUUGGGGUCUGAGAAGUUGAAAAGAAUGGGGUCAAAGCCUUAACCAUGCUUGCAGCCCAGCAUGAUUAAACUGAAGCAUCC